GUGCUAGCUAGAGGACAAUGGCCUCAACACGCACAAUCUAAUCUGCAAUCACCAAAAUGAAGACUAUCUCGCUCAUUUGCUGCAUUCUCCUGACUUUCCUUCUUUUCUCGUCCCCUUCAAUUAUGGCUCGUGAAUUGGCUGCUCAUGAUCAUGAGGCCGGUGUUCAUGCAGGUUAUAAUGGUGGCCAAGCCGGGGAUCCCAACAAGCAUUUAAUAUGCGGAAAGCGUGGGGACAAUCCCGCGUAUAGCAAAUGCAUAG